CCUACGGGAGGCAGCAGUGAGGUAAUUUUCUGCGAAUGGGCGAAAGCCUGACAGAGCAAUACCGCGUGAGGGACGAAGGCCUACGGGUUGUAAACUUCUUUUCUCAAGGAGGAAGAUCUGACGUUACUUGAGGAAUAAGCAUCGGCUAACCCUGUGCCAGCAGCCGCGGUAAUACAGGGGAUGCAAGUGUUAUCCGGAAUCAUUGGGCGUAAAGCGUCUGCAGGUUGAUCUUUAAGUCUUUUGUUAAAUCUUCGGGCUUAACCCGAAAUCUGCAAAAGAAACUAUUCAUCUUGAGUAUGGUAGAGGUAGAGGGAAUUUCCAGUGGAGCGGUGAAAUGCGUAGAUAUUGGAAAGAACACCAACAGCGAAGGCACUCUACUGGGCCAUUACUGACACUCAGAGACGAAAGCUAGGGGAGCAAACGGGGAUUAGAUACCCCGGUAGUCCUAGCUGUAAACGAUGGAUACUAGAUGUUGUUUAUCCUCUGGAUAGGCCAGUGUGUAGUCUACGUACGUAGUAUCCGCCGUCGGUAGUAGUGCGUCGCGAGAGUAGAACGUAACGUAAGUAAGUUAGUUAGUACGUUGUUAGAGNGCGACGGACGACGACGAGGAGGAGG
rnacentral:rRNA from 1 species